UACAGAGACUGUAAGCGUUAUUCGGAUUCACUGGGCGUAAAGGGUGCGCAGGCGGUUGGGUGUGUCAGAUGUGAAAUCCCGAGGCUUAACCUCGGAACUGCGUCUGAAACUACUCGACUAGAGUACUGGAGAGGGAAACGGAAUUCACGGUGUAGCAGUGAAAUGCGUAGAUAUCGUGAGGAACACCAGAGGCGAAGGCGGUUUCCUGGACAGUUACUGACGCUCAGGCACGAAAGCAUGGGGAGCAAAAGGG
rnacentral:rRNA from 1 species